GACGAACGCUGGCGGCGUGCUUAACACAUGCAAGUCGAACGAAGAGCGAUGGAAGCUUGCUUCUAUCAAUCUUAGUGGCGAACGGGUGAGUAACGCGUAAUCAACCUGCCCUUCAGAGGGGGACAACAGUUGGAAACGACUGCUAAUGCCGCAUACGAUCUGACCUCGGCAUCGAGGAUAGAUGAAAGGUGGCCUCUAUUUAUAAGCUAUCACUGAAGGAGGGGAUUGCGUCUGAUUAGCUAGUUGGAGGGGUAACGGCCCACCAAGGCGAUGAUCAGUAGCCGGUCUGAGAGGAUGAACGGCCACAUUGGGACUGAGACACGGCCCAGACUCCUACGGGAGGCAGCAGUGGGGAAUCUUCCGCAAUGGACGAAAGUCUGACGGAGCAACGCCGCGUGAGUGAUGACGGCCGUCGGGUUGUAAAGCUCUGUUAAUCGGGACGAAAGGCCUUCUUGCGAAUAGUUAGAAGGAUUGACGGUACCGGAAGAGAAAGCCACGGCUAACUACGUG
rnacentral:rRNA from 1 species